rnacentral:rRNA from 1 species
UACAGAGGUCCCAAGCGUUGUUCGGAUUCAUUGGGCGUAAAGGGUGCGUAGGCGGUCGGGUAAGUCUGGCGUGAAAUCUCCAAGCCUAACUUGGAAACUGCGUUGGAUACUAUCCGGCUCGAGGAAUGGAGGGGAGACUGGAAUACUUGGUGUAGCAGUGAAAUGCGUAGAUAUCAAGUGGAACACCAGUGGCGAAGGCGAGUCUCUGGACAUUUCCUGACGCUGAGGCACGAAAGCCAGGGGAGCAAACGGG